rnacentral:rRNA from 1 species
GAUGAACGCUGGCUACAGGCUUAACACAUGCAAGUCGAGGGGAAACGACGGGGAAGCUUGCUUCUCCGGGCGUCGACCGGCGCACGGGUGAGUAACGCGUAUCCAACCUGCCUCUGACUGAGGGAUAACCCGUCGAAAGUCGGCCUAAUACCUCAUGGCAUCGUCUGCGGGCAUCCAACGACGAUUAAAGAUUUCAUCGGUCAGGGAUGGGGAUGCGUCUGAUUAGCUUGUUGGCGGGGUAACGGCCCACCAAGGCUACGAUCAGUAGGGGUUCUGAGAGGAAGGUCCACCACAUUGGAGCUGAGACACAGACCAAACUCCUACGGGAGGCAGCAGUGAGGAAUAUUAGUGGAUGGGCGGGAGCCUGAACAAGCCGAGUAGCGUGCAGGAGGACGGCCCUAUGGGUUGUAAACUGCUUUUAUGCGGGGAUAAAGUGAGGGAAGUGUCCUUCAUUGCAGGUACCGCAUGAAUAAGGACCGGCUAAUUCCGUG